rnacentral:rRNA from 1 species
AGUUGUUGCAGUUAAAAAGCUCGUAGUUGGAUUUCUGGGAGGGUGCUAAUGCCCGCCGUAGCGCGCGCGCAGCAGCGCCCUUCCAUCCUUCUGUUAACGCCUCUUGGCAUUCAUUUGCUGGUGGCGGGCUCAGAUAUUUUACCUUGAGAAAAUUAGAGUGUUUCAGGCAGGCUAGGCCGGAAUAUAUUAGCAUGGAAUAAUGGAAUAGGACUAUGGUCUCUUUGUUGGUUUGAGGGACUGCAGUAAUGAUUAAUAGGGAUAGUUGGGGGCAUUAGUAUUUAAUUGUCAGAGGUGGAAUUCUCAGAUUUGUUAAAGACUAACUCAUGCGAAAGCAUUUGCCAAGGAUGUUUUCAUUAAUCCGAACGAAAGUUAGGGGAUC